rnacentral:rRNA from 1 species
UACGGAGGGCGCAAGCGUUACUCGGAAUCACUGGGCGUAAAGAGCGUGUAGGCGGAUAAAUAAGUUGGGAGUGAAAUCCUAUGGCUCAACCAUAGAACUGCUUCCAAAACUGUAUAUCUAGAAUAUGGGAGAGGUAGAUGGAAUUUCUGGUGUAGGGGUAAAAUCCGUAGAGAUCAGAAGGAAUACCGAUUGCGAAGGCGAUCUACUGGAACAUUAUUGACGCUGAGACGCGAAAGCGUGGGGAGCAAACAGG